GAAUAAUUCGUGUAUCACUGUGCAG
rnacentral:piRNA from 1 species